AAACCUCUAUCCAGAAUCCUUAAGAAAAGAAUCUCACCUUAAAGUAAGAGUGCUGAGCGUUUUGGAAUAGACUGCCGUAAACCCUAGGAAUGAUGGUCAGGGUUAGAUCUAGGGUAGUGCAAGUGUAGAUGCCGACACAAGCUGGUGACUUUCAUCUGACAAAAAGUGUUCAAAAUGUUUUGAGGGAUCAAGUGCAGCCAACCCAAGAAUUAAUGGAAUGGGCUGGUUUUCAUUCUCAUAAGAAGAGCAGACAGUUACCUACCAGCAAAAGUGCAGGGAUUGACUGUGGCCAAUCCAAGACAUGAUGAACACAUCCUAUGAAUCAUCUGAGCUGUCUUGAUAGUUCUGGAAAGAAGAAAUUUGGGCAACACAUCAAAAUAAAUUCAUGUUAUGGAUCAUUAGAAAUGAAAGGAGAGACGUUUAUUGGUGAAGGAGAUAUAGAACUCUAUUUUGAACUAGAGUGAAGGAUUUGUGACCUUUUAUUAUGGAUCUGUUACCUGAUUUGAAGGAUCUGUUACCUACAUAUAGUUUGUAAAAAUUGGUGACCUUGUAUGAAGGAACUGUGACCUUGCGAAGGACCUUGGCCUUUUGUGAAGUAUAUCUGUGACUUUAUGAAAAGGUUCUCUUGCCUUGUGUUAAGGAUAUGUAACCUUGUUUGAAGGAUCUGUGACCUUGUGUGAAAGAUCUGUAACCUUAUGUGAAGGAUCUGUGAUUUUACAUGAAGGAUCUUUGACCUUGUGUGAAGGAUCUGUGACGUUAUGUGAAGGAUCUGUGACCUUAUGCGAAGACCUUGUGUGAAGGAUCUGUGACCUUGUGAGAAGGAUAUUGCAUUUCCGGUCUUUGUUCCUUCCUUUCUUUUGUUGAUGUUUUGAAACCAAAAAACGUAUGUGCUAAUAUCACCCCCAGCAGUUAAUUUCUUUGUUACACCAGUUGACGUAUUGACCAGUUUAUAGUUCUAUCAAAUGAAUGCGAUGUCUUGCAUUCAGACUUAGACUUCCAUUAAUUUUUCGUCGGACACGUGUGACUUUUUAUCCAUAUUUUCCCUGGGAAGUUUUUAAUGUCAGUGAUUAUACUCUAGCCUUUGAUGUUUAAUGCUGUUUGGAAAGUUUAUGAUGAGUGCAGUAUAACAAUUUUUUGUGUUAUGUAGUAUUAGCAAAAAUUAAUUGCCCUAACAACAUGUAAACCAUGUUAUGGAAAUGUCUUGUUACUAAGUUUUAGUUAUUUAGGCUACAGCCAGAAUUAUUUCAGAAUAUAUUGCAUAGGCAAACAUUCGAUUAUUAAAGGGUAUUACGGUAUUAAAUGGUCACUUUCUAGUGCAUACUGUCCUGAGAAAAACAAGUUUUUUAAUCAAUAUAAAUUUGUCUAUAUUGCAAAAUCCAUAACUCAUGAAAAUAUUGUUUCAUAAUUAAAUAGAGUGAGGUUCCGCCACUCAAAUUUUUGCUAACUCUGCAUUUUGCCGCGGUUCACAGGUUUCCAUCAUUUUUUGAAAGAUUUUGUUUUUAAUAUAUGGUUUUUCCUGGGCGGCAGAGGAGGCUUAUUUUAUUUUUGGAUGCAUUUUAAUGUGCAUUUUGUUAGGAAUAUGCAAUGUUGUAUGAAAACUGCUUUGUUUGCAUGUUAAUUUCUUUGAAAAAUAAACCUGGCCUAAACCUGCAUAGUGCUUUGUAAUGCAAUUUAAGGGGUUUUAAUAAUCGUAUAUGUAGGCAUAAAGUGUAGUGCAGUGACUGGUCAUCUUAAUUCAUUUUAUGUGUGUUUUGUUUUGACAUUUCAAUUCAUAUACAAUGUAUAAUGCACUACUUAUAAUAAAUGGCAUUUGCUUCCUAAAAUCUUUUCAGAAUCAUUGUAUAACAGUAACCAUUUUCAAACAUUCUUUUCAAAGUACAUGU